rnacentral:lncRNA from 1 species
CCACAUAUGCUAUAACCUGGUCAGAUAUCCCUAGAGGAACAGAAAGGUAACUGGGUUUUAAUCUUCCUAAAACAUCCAGCAAACCCAAUAAAUCUCUCAUAGAAUGUUUUUUACUUUCUAAGAUAAAAAUUCAUUCUACCUCCUAACUGAAAAUAGAGACACAUUAAAAUGAGACUUAAAGAUGUGAAAGAUGGGGUGGGGCGGGGGGUUGACCAGUUUCAACUGGAAAUUAAUGGAGUUAUAAGUAUAGUUUUCUUACAAUAAGAAGUACUUUAGUACCCACUAAGAAACAUGAAUGAUUUUCACAUAGUAUUGUGAGAAAGAAUUGUUUGAUGUUCCAAAAUUCCAAAGAACUUGGUAUUUCUACACAGAUUCAUUGAGUUACCUGCAAACUGGAGGCUGAUUCUUGUAAUUUCUCCACCAUUAGUGGUGCAAGAAUCCAGUGAAAUAUGUUCUAGUACUGCCCAUAGCAGUCACUACCAAAAGAUUACUAAAUGUAUGUACACACAGUAUAAAUGAUUUUACUGUGUAUUUUAAGGAGAGUUAAAGUCCUGAAAUAAUUCCAAUGAAAUAAUUUGAGUGCAACUGUGUUUUUUUUUUAAUGCAGACUGGUAAAUUAACUUUUACUUAGUAUUGUUUUUAGAGAUACUGUAUCUUUUCUGAUUAAAUUUCACUUAUUUUUUCCAAGCUUUAGCAUUUUUCAUGACCUACUCUUCUCUCUCAUUACCUUCUUGUCAAGAUAAAAAUCUGUAAAAUAUUUAAUAGCAUCCAGAGAGCUCCUUAUUUCUAGGAAUUCUCAGGGGAAUUCCAAGGGCUUUUUAAGCAUUCAGGUAAAUUUCAGACAUGUUUUCUAACUUUUCUAUAACUCUGGAUUUUGUUUCUUUAUUUGUAAAAUAAAACAUUUGAGGCUUUCCCAGGAUGAAGGGUA